rnacentral:rRNA from 1 species
GAGUUUGAUCCUGGCUCAGAUUGAACGCUGGCGGCAUGCCUUACACAUGCAAGUCGAACGGCAGCACGGGAGCUUGCUCCUGGUGGCGAGUGGCGAACGGGUGAGUAAUGCAUCGGAACGUAUCCUGGAGUGGGGGAUAACGUAGCGAAAGUUACGCUAAUACCGCAUAUUCUGUGAGCAGGAAAGCGGGGGACCUUCGGGCCUCGCGCUCUUGGAGCGGCCGAUGUCGGAUUAGCUAGUUGGUGAGGUAAAGGCUCACCAAGGCGACGAUCCGUAGCAGGUCUGAGAGGAUGAUCUGCCACACUGGAACUGAGACACGGUCCAGACUCCUACGGGAGGCAGCAGUGGGGAAUUUUGGACAAUGGGGGCGAACCCUGAUCCAGCCAUGCCGCGUGAGUGAAGAAGGCCU